rnacentral:rRNA from 1 species
AACGCGAAGAACCUUACCAGGGCUUGACAUGGGGAGGACGCAGUCAGAGAUGGCUGUUCCCGCAAGGGCCUCCUGCACAGGUGCUGCAUGGCUGUCGUCAGCUCGUGUCGUGAGAUGUUGGGUUAAGUCCCGCAACGAGCGCAACCCUCGCCUUUAGUUGCCAGCACGUUUGGGUGGGCACUCUAAAGGAACUGCCGGUGACAAGCCGGAGGAAGGUGGGGAUGACGUCAAGUCCUCAUGGCCCUUAUGUCCUGGGCUACACACGUGCUACAAUGGCGGUGACAGCGGGAAGCCAGGUCGCAAGGCCGAGCCGAUCCCGAAAAGCCGUCUCAGUUCAGAUUGCACUCUGCAACUCGGGUGCAUGAAGGUGGAAUCGCUAGUAAUCGUGGAUCAGCAUGCCACGGUGAAUACGUUCCCGGGCCUUGUA